UACGAAGGGGGCUAGCGUUGCUCGGAAUUACUGGGCGUAAAGCGCACGUAGGCGGCUCUUUAAGUCGGGGGUGAAAUCCUGGAGCUCAACUCCAGAACUGCCUUCGAUACUGAAGAGCUCGAGUCCGGGAGAGGUGAGUGGAACUGCGAGUGUAGAGGUGAAAUUCGUAGAUAUUCGCAAGAACACCAGUGGCGAAGGCGGCUCACUGGCCCGGUACUGGCGCUGAGGUGCGAAAGCGUGGGGAGCAAACAGG
rnacentral:rRNA from 1 species